AUUGAACGCUGGCGGCACGCCUAACACAUGCAAGUCGAGCGGUAGCAUGUUUUGUAGCAAUACAAAAUGAUGACGAGCGGCGGACGGGUGAGGAACACGUAGGAACCUGCCCUUUAGCGGGGACAACCAAGGGAAACUUUGGCUAAUACCGCGUAAUCUCGAGAGAGGAAAGCUGCCCGCAAGGGUGGCGCGUAAAGGAGGGGCCUGCGUCCGAUUAGCGUAGGUUGGGGAGGUAAAGGCUCACCAAGGCGAUGAUCGGUAACUGGUCUGAGAGGACGACCAGUCACACUGGGACUGAGACACGGCCCAGACUCCUACGGGAGGCAGCAGUGGGGAAUAUUGGACAAUGGGGCAACCCUGAUCCAGCGAUGCCGCGUGGGUGAAGAAGGCC
rnacentral:rRNA from 1 species